GGCAAGAAUAAUUAAACAAGAACUCCAAAAUACAAGUUACAACUAACAUCAUAUGACAAUAGUACAUGCAUCCACUAAAAUCAGUGACAAAUACUAGUAGAACCCUGAUUCUCCACUAAGAUCAUAUGAACAUAUAGGCAAGAUAAGCAAAAAUGAAGCAACAAGUCACCAACAAUACAUCCAAGUUCCCUUGCACAUACAGAACAGUGCACAAAGAAUGAAACAAAAAUUAAAUACAAAUGAUGGGAGAUGGGAGUGAACUGGAGAAGACGCCGCCGAGAUGCCGAGGUGGACAGACGGUCGCCUGCUGAGUUGGAGAGUUGGAACGAUGUCGAAGGCUCGAAGCUCGAAUCGAAGGUGGAUGGGCGCUGGGCGGACGGAUGGGCGACGGCGGGUCCAUGUCUUCCUUUGGUCCUCUCCUUCCUUGCGUGCAGCGAGUCCAGCGACGGCGCGACGGUCGGCGGUCAGUGCGAAGGCGAGGGCGCAGAUGCGGGAGAUGCCAGCCGCCGCAGGAGUCGGCCUCGGGGGUGGCCGAGUGGAGGAGAAGUUGCAGUGGGCGGUGGCACCGGCGGCGUCUUCUUAGCACUCAGAUGAAUAGCGGCGGCGGCGGCGGCGUCUCAGCGCUCAGAUGAACAGCGGCGGCGGCGGCUGAGUCGGGGUGGGAGGGCAGGCGCUUAGG
rnacentral:rRNA from 1 species